UAUAGAUUCAUAGAUAGAUAGAUAUAUAUAGACAUUAAUAGAAUAGAUAGAAAUGGAGGCUCCACAGAAGAGAUGCCGUAAAUCUGUGGUGUGGGAGCAUUUCCAUUUGGAAACCCCAAAUAAAGUGAGAUGUAUGUAUUGUGAUAGGCAGCUAGCCUACUUCAACAAUACAUCAUCCAUGAUGCGCCAUUUGAGGAGCACUCAUCCUGCCAUUUUGCAGUGUGCAGAGGAUGGUAACAUUCCCCCUGUACCUAGGCCUGCUACUGACACUGCUGGGCCAUCUAAACAAGGCAGACAGAGGGAAUUGGAUGAGGCUCUUGUAGACAUGGUGGUAAAGGAUUUGCAGCCCUUCACUAUCGUGGAGGAUGAGGGUUUCAUGGCUUUUGUGAACAAACUUGAUCCAAGCUAUGUCCUCCCAUCCCGGAAGGCACUUAAAACGAUGGUAACCGAAAGGUACAACAUUUCUAAGGAGAAGACAAUGGAGGACCUAAAAAAGGCAGAUUUUGUUAGCCUUACAGCUGACAUGUGGUCCUCCAUUAAUAUGGACGGAUACCUUGGUGUUACUUGCCACUACAUAACACCAGAGGCAAAGCUGGCAACUGUUGUACUGGGUGUAAGGAGGUUUUACCAAACACACACAGCCCAGCAUCUCAUGGAGGCUAAAGCUUUGCUAAUGGCCGAGUGGGGAAUAACCACCAAAGUUCAGUGUAUGGUGACUGAUGAUGCAUCCAACAUGAUCUUAAGUGCCCAGCUACUGAACCUUCGGCAUGUCCCAUGUUUUGCCCACAAUUUAAAUUUAAUUGUAAAAAAGGCCCUAGAUCAAACCCCACUCAUCAAUGAAAUACGACAGAAAGCCAGAAAGAUAGUGGGGUUAUUUAGAUCCAGCUGCAAAGCAGGAGGUGGACACAAGAUGGAACAGCACUUACGACAUGUUGCAGCGCUUGUAUGAGCAACGAGAGCCAGUGGGUGCAGCGCUAUCAAAUUUAAACAGUGAUACUGCUCCGCUGAAGUUUUGAGUAUAACAUUAUACAAGAAUCAUUGUCACUACUGCAGCCUUUCAAACUCGCAACGACAGAGUUGUCAGAGGAACAGAGAGUGUCUGCUUCAAAGCUCAUACCACUUUACAGGAUGUUGCAGCACAAGCUAUCGCAGAAAAAAGGCCAAUCAGCACAGGAAUCAACUGCACAAUUAGGUCUGCACUCAAGAUGUGGUGGGUACGAGUCAUUCAGAGCCUUGGCUCUGGCUACACUGCUGGACCCAAGGUUCAAAAAUGUGGGUUUUGGAAAUCCUGGCAAAGCCCAGGAGGCUGAAAAGCAGAUCACACUGGAGUGUGCUUCGCUGAUGCGUUCAAACACAGCAACUCCUGGUAAGCAGUUUCACUCUUCAUCUGACAUUAUGGAGUUAUGUCAUCUGAAUAAUUAUGUGACUUAUACUUCAUAUAUGCUGUCAGUUUAGACUUAGUAACUAAUUGUUGUUUUUACUUUCAUUCAGAGCCACAGUCAACAUCAGGCCCAUCAUCAUCAUCAUCAACAACAACAUCAACAACAGAAACCCAGGACAGUUUAUGGGAACUUUUUGAUAGUCGUAUC